GACGAACGCUGGCGGCGUGCUUAACACAUGCAAGUCGAACGGAAAGGCCCUGCUUUUGUUGGUUGCUCGAUUGGCGAACGGGUGAGUAACACGUGAGUAACCUGUCCCUGACUUUGGGAUAACUUCAGGAAACUGGGGCUCAUAUCGGAUAGGAGCUCCUGAUGCAUGGUGGGGGUUGGAAAGUUUCGGCGGUUGGGGCUGGACUCGCGGCUUAUCAGCUUGUUGGUGUGGUAGUGGCUUACCAAGGGUUCGACGGGUAGCCGGCAUGGGAGGGUUGACGGGCACAAGAGGACUGAGGGAGGGACCAGAAGGGUACGGGAGGCAGCAGUGGGGAAUAUUGCAGAGUGGGGGGACGCGAGAUACAGAAACCUCGCGAGCGGAAUGACGGGUUAUGAGGUAUAAACAGAUGUCGACGGAAACGAAGCGUGAGUGACGGUAAUGGGUAAAGAAGCAACGGCUAACUACGUG
rnacentral:rRNA from 1 species